rnacentral:rRNA from 1 species
UACGAAGGGGGCUAGCGUUGCUCGGAAUCACUGGGCGUAAAGCGCACGUAGGCGGCUUGUUAAGUCAGGGGUGAAAUCCUGGAGCUCAACUCCAGAACUGCCUUUGAUACUGACGGGCUUGAGUUCGGGAGAGGUGAGUGGAACUGCGAGUGUAGAGGUGAAAUUCGUAGAUAUUCGCAAGAACACCAGUGGCGAAGGCGGCUCACUGGCCCGAUACUGACGCUGAGGCACGAAAGCGUGGGGAGCAAACAGG